AUUGAACGCUGGCGGCAGGCCUAACACAUGCAAGUCGAACGAGUGGCGGACGGGUGAGUAAUGUCUGGGAAACUGCCCUAUCGGGGGGGAUACCUUCAGGAAACGGUAGCUAAUCCCGCUACACAUCGGAUGUCCACAGCUGGGAUUAGCUAGUAGGUGGGGUAACCGCUCACCUAGGCGAAGAUGCCUAGCUGGUCUGAGAGGAUGACCAGUCACACUGGAACGGAGACACGGUCCAGACUCCGACGUGAGGCAGCAGUGGGGAAUAUUGCACAAUGGGCGGAAGCCUGAUGCAGCCAUGCCGCGUGUAUGAAGAAGGCCUUCGGGUUGUAAAGUACUUUCAGCGAGGAGGCGUUACUCGCAGAAGAAGCACCGGCUAACUCCGUGCCAGCAGCCGCGGUAAUUC
rnacentral:rRNA from 1 species